UACGUAGGGUGCAAGCGUUGUCCGGAAUCACUGGGCGUAAAGGGUGCGUAGGCGGGUUUUAAGUCAGAGGUGAAAUCCUGGAGCUCAACCCCGGAACUGCCUUUGAUACUGGUAGUCUCGAGUCCGGAAGAGGUGAGUGGAAUUCCGAGUGUAGAGGUGAAAUUCGUAGAUAUUCGGAGGAACACCAGUGGCGAAGGCGGCUCACUGGUCCGGUACUGACGCUGAGGUGCGAAAGCGUGGGGAGCAAACAGGG
rnacentral:rRNA from 1 species